AUUGAACGCUGGCAGCAUGCCUAACACAUGCAAGUCGACCGGAAGUACGGUGCUUGCUCCUGGCUUCUGCGUCACGCGGGUGAAUCUUGCCUAACAAUCUGGCUCAACAUUUGGAAUCAAGUCCUAAAACGGGCGCUUAUACUUCAAUCGCCCCGAGUGAGUAUGUGAGGGAUCUUCGGACCUCACGCUCUUUGCUUACCCUUGGCCGGAUUGGCUAGUUGGUGGGGUAAAGGCCUACCAAGGCGACGAUCCGUAACUGGUCUGAGAGGAUGAUCAGUCACACUGGAACUGAGACACGGUCCAGACUCCUACGGGAGGCAGCAGUGGGGAAUAUUGGACAAUGGGCGAAAGCCUGAUCCAGCCAUGCCGCGUGUGUGAAGAAGGUCUUCGGAUUGUAAAGCACUUUAAGUUGGGAGGAAGGGCAGUAAGUUAAUACCUUGCUGUUUUGACGGUACCAACAGAAUAAGCACCGGCUAACUUCGUG
rnacentral:rRNA from 1 species